AUUGAACGCUGGCGGCAGGCUUAACACAUGCAAGUCGAGCGGGGUGAUGGUGCUUGCACUAUCACUUAGCGGCGGACGGGUGAGUAAUACUUAGGAAUCUGCCUAUUAGUGGGGGACAACAUCUCGAAAGGGAUGCUAAUACCGCAUACGUCCUACGGGAGAAAGCAGGGGAUCACUUGUGACCUUGCGCUAAUAGAUGAGCCUAAGGCGGAUUAGCUAGUUGGUGGGGUAAAGGCCUACCAAGGCGACGAUCUGUAGCGGGUCUGAGAGGAUGAGCCGCCAAACUGGGACUGAGAAACGGCCCAGACUCCUACGGGAGGCAGCAGUGGGAAAUAUUGGACAAUGGGGGGAACCCUGAUCCAGCCAUGCCGCGUGUGUGAAGAAGGCCUUAUGGUUGUAAAGCACUUUAAGCGAGGAGGAGGCUCUUUUGGUUAAUACCCAAGAUGAGUGGACGUUACUCGCAGAAUAAGCACCGGCUAACUCUGUGCCAGCCGCCGCCGUAA
rnacentral:rRNA from 1 species